rnacentral:rRNA from 1 species
AAACGUAGGAGGCUAGCGUUAUCCGGAUUUAUUGGGCGUAAAGCGCGUGCAGGCGGUCUAGUAAGUUGGAUGUGAAAGCUCCUGGCUUAACUGGGAGAGGUCGUUCAAAACUGCUAGACUAGAGAAUGGGAGAGGGAGGUGGAAUUCCGGGUGUAGUGGUGAAAUGCGUAGAUAUCCGGAGGAACACCAGUGGCGAAAGCGGCCUCCUAGACCAUUUCUGACGCUAAGGCGCGAAGGCGUGGGGAGC